rnacentral:rRNA from 1 species
UACGUAGGGGGCAAGCGUUGUCCGGAAUCAUUGGGCGUAAAGCGCGCGUAGGUGGCUUCGUAAGUCCGUUGUGAAAGUCAAAGGCUCAACCUUUGAAAGCCGAUGGAUACUGCGGAGCUAGAGUACGGAAGAGGCGAGUGGAAUUCCUGGUGUAGCGGUGGAAUGCGCAGAUAUCAGGAGGAACACCAAUAGCGAAGGCAGCUCGCUGGGACGUUACUGACACUGAGGCGCGAAAGCGUGGGGAGCAAACAGG